GACAGAGGGUGCUAGCGUUGUUCGGAAUUACUGGGCGUAAAGGGCGCGUAGGCGGCUUGCUUAGUCGGGUGUGAAAUCCCGGGGCUCAACCCCGGAACUGCAUUCGAUACUGGCAGGCUAGAGACCGGAAGAGGUGGGUGGAAUACCCAGUGUAGAGGUGAAAUUCGUAGAUAUCGGGAGGAACACCGGUGGCGAAGGCGGUUCUCUGGGCCUUACCUGACGCUGAGGAGCGAAAGCGUGGGGAGCGAACAGG
rnacentral:rRNA from 1 species